CGAGGAUAAUACGCGAAUCUCGUAUUAUCCUCGUUUUCGAUAAGCAUCAAGCCGUAUUAUCCUCAAUUUUAAUCUCGGAUUUUCUGUUAAUAUGCCGAUUUCGGCGUAUUAAGAUAAUCCGAGAUUUUCUUGUUGCACGCAGCCAAAUCAAAACUUGCCCUCACACACACAUCUGCACGUCCAGCAAAUGUCAUAUUUUUCAGUUUGUUUUGUUUCCAACUCCGAUUGCCACAAUCAUCUCCAAGUGAAUAUUUCAAUUUGAAUAUUUUAAAAUAAUAAACCUUUAUUAUAAUAUGGUAAAGAUGGGCUUUAUCAGUGAACUUAAAUACAUAGCUAGGAAGCGUUUUUUCCGGAAACAACCAUAACAGCAGAGAUCAGAAACAGCAAGAACGUAUGCGGUGCUGCAGGACAAGGAUUAUAAUUAUGGUGCUGCUGGUGUUAUCCUGGUUUACCUAAAUGAUAAAUGGUUCAACGGUUAAACUAUGCUGCUUAACAAGUUGUAUGAUGUGAAACUCGUAGAUUGAGUGGUAAAUGUAAUUGUAAUUUUAAAUUGUAAAUGUAGUUUCAAAAGCAUGAAUAUAAAAUAAUCCUUAUCAGAA